rnacentral:sRNA from 1 species
CACUACCUCCCCACACUCUCUCCCCACCCCUUGCCAUUGUCAUCUGUGCCUGUUUUCUGCAGGGUCUGACAAUGAAUCAGAUGAAGAAGUUGCUGGGAAGAAAAGUUUCUCUGCUCAGGAGUGGGAGUACGUCCGCCAGGGGAAGGAGGCCACAGCAGUGGUGGACCAGAUCUUGGCCCAGGAAGAGAACUGGAAGUUUGAGAAGAAUAAUGUAAGAAGCCCUCUCCCACCUGACCUUCCCAUGCGUGUUAGGAGUUUCUGUUCUCUUUUCUGAGGCCUGAGGAAGAAACCCAAAGAUUACAUGGGUUGGAGCCAGAUUCCUGCCCCAAGAGAGGGAGCUGGGUCCUCGGGUCGGCAGGAGGCUGGGCUGGAUUGGACGUUUCCCCCCGCGCCCCUCGGCCCCCCUUCCCUGCACCACACUGUCUUUACUUCCCUGCUGUUCUGCCCCCUUGGCUCCAGGCUUUGAAGGGGAAGCCAGGCUUCUGCUCUGCAUCCGUUGUUUCGUUUCAUGAUCAAAACAACAUUAUCUACAAAGAUUGUAGAGAGCUUGGAAAACAGAGAGCAACAUGCCCCAGUCCCUCUCUCUGGCCAGUUCUUGUGGCAGCCCCAUUGGCCUGGAGACAUGGUUUUUUGUGGUUACAGCCGCAGCUGUCCCCCCAUCUUUUAACUCGGCAUCAAAAGCCUCUCUCCCGCCAGUGCCAUAGGUUUGUUAGAGCUGCUGUUUUGUAACAGCUGCUCAGGUAUCCCCAAACUCCUGGAGUUUUCCACCCUGAGCUGUUAAAAACCUGCCCUGCCUGUCACCCAUUUCUGUGCCACCAGCCCACCCCCUGCCUCCACUCUCCUCCCUGCCACCUUCUGUCCCUGCCACAGGAAUAUGGGGACACCGUGUACACCAUUGAAGUUCCCUUUCACGGCAAGACGUUUAUCCUGAAGGUGAGUGAGGGGAGCGGGUUUCCUGGAGCCCCAGACAGCACAGGAGGCUCCAGGAAGGGGCCGAGGGGCCCUCUGGUGGGUGCCCCCCACCAAGAGGGAGGGGUUGGUCUGCCUGAGCCCAUCUGGCACCACCCAGCCCUCUGCCGCCCUGUCCCAGACCUUCCUGCCCUGUCCUGCGGAGCUCGUGUACCAGGAGGUGAUCCUGCAGCCCGAGAGGAUGGUGCUGUGGAACAAGACAGUGACUGCCUGCCAGAUCCUGCAGCGAGUGGAAGACAACACCCUCAUCUCCUAUGACGUGUCUGCAGGGGCUGCGGGUGGCGUGGUCUCUCCAAGGGACUUCGUGAAUGUCCGGCGCAUUGAGCGGCGCAGGGACCGAUACUUGUCAUCAGGGAUCGCCACCGCACACAGUGCCAAGCCCCCAACGCACAAAUAUGUCCGGGGAGAGAAUGGCCCUGGGGGCUUCAUCGUGCUCAAGUCGGCCAGUAACCCCCGUGUCUGCACCUUUGUCUGGAUUCUUAAUACAGAUCUCAAGGGCCGUCUGCCCCGGUACCUCAUCCACCAGAGCCUCGCGGCCACCAUGUUUGAAUUUGCCUUUCACCUGCGACAGCGCAUCAGCGAGCUGGGAGCCCGGGUGUGACUGUGCCCCCUCCCACCCUGCGGGCCAGGGUCCUGUCGCCACUACUUCCAGAGCCAGAAAGGGUGCCAGCUGGGCUUGCGCUGCCCACAUGGGACCUGGCCCCAGGCUGUCACCCUCCACUGAGCCACGCCGUGCCUGGAGUCGACUGUCUGAGCAGGCUGUGGGGUGGAGCACUGGACUCCGGGGCCCCGCUGGCUGGAGGAAGUGGGGUCUGGCCUGUUGAUGUUUACAUGGCGCCCUGCCUCCUGGAGAAGCAGAUUGCUCUCCCCCGCCUUGCCAGGGCAGGGUCUGGGCUGGGCACCUGACUUGGCUGGGGAGGACCAGUGCCCUGGGCAGGGCAGGGCCGCCUGUCACCCGUGUGAAGAUGAAGGGGCUCUUCAUCUGCCUGCGCUCUCGUCGGGUUUUUUAGGAUUAUUGAAAGAGUCUGGGACCCUUGUUGGGGAGUGGGUGGCAGGUGGGGGUGGGCUGCUGGCCGUGAAUCUCUGCCUCUCCCAGGCUGUCCCCCUCCUCCCAGGGCCUCCUGGAGGACCUUUGUAUUAAGCCAAUUAAAAACAUGAACUA